rnacentral:rRNA from 1 species
CCUACGGGAGACAGCAGUGAGGAAUAUUGGUCAAUGGACGCAAGUCUGAACCAGCCAUGCCGCGUGCAGGAAGACGGCUCUAUGAGUUGUAAACUGCUUUUGUACGAGGGUAAACGCAGAUACGCGUAUCUGUCUGAAAGUAUCGUACGAAUAAGGAUCGGCUAACUCCGUGCCAGCAGCCGCGGUAAUACGGAGGAUUCAAGCGUUAUCCGGAUUUAUUGGGUUUAAAGGGUGCGUAGGCGGUCGGAUAAGUUAGCGGUGAAAUCCCGAGGCUCAACUUCGGAAUUGCCUCUGAUACUGUUCGUCUAGAGAGGAGGUGCGGUAGGCGGAAUGUAUGGUGUAGCGGUGAAAUGCUUAGAGAUCAUACAGAACACCGAUUGCGAAGGCAGCUUACCAAGCUACUUCUGACGUUGAGGCACGAAAGCGUGGGGAGCAAACAGGAUUAGAUACCCGUGUAGUC